UACGGGGGGUGCGAGCGUUGUCCGGAAUCACUGGGCGUAAAGGGCGCGUAGGUGGCUUUGUAAGUUUGCGGUGAAAGCCCGGGGCUCAACCCCGGGUCUGCCGUGGAUACUGCAAGGCUUGAGUACUGUAGAGGCAGGUAGAAUAUCGGGUGUAGCGGUGAAAUGCGCAGAUAUCAGGAGGAACACCGGUGGCGAAGGCGGGUCUCUGGGCAGUAACUGACGCUGAGGAGCGAAAGCGUGGGGAGCGAACAGG
rnacentral:rRNA from 1 species